CUGGACCUCAAAUCAGGCAGACUACCCGCCGAACU
rnacentral:rRNA from 1 species